CCUUCGGGAACUCUGAGACAGGUGCUGCAUGGCUGUCGUCAGCUCGUGUUGUGAAAUGUUGGGUUAAGUCCCGCAACGAGCGCAACCCUUAUCCUUUGUUGCCAGCGGCUCGGCCGGGAACUCAAAGGAGACUGCCGGUGAUAAACCGGAGGAAGGUGGGGAUGACGUCAAGUCAUCAUGGCCCUUACGGCCAGGGCUACACACGUGCUACAAUGGCGCAUACAAAGAGAAGCGACCUCGCGAGAGCAAGCGGACCUCAUAAAGUGCGUCGUAGUCCGGAUUGGAGUCUGCAACUCGACUCCAUGAAGUCGGAAUCGCUAGUAAUCGUAGAUCAGAAUGCUACGGUGAAUACGUUCCCGGGCCUUGUACACACCGCCCGUCACACCAUGGGAGUGGGUUGCAAAAGAAGUAGGUAGCUUAACCUUCGGGAGGGCGCUUACCACUUUGUGAUUCAUGACUGGGGUGAAGUCGUAACAAGGUAGGCGUAGCGAG
rnacentral:rRNA from 1 species